rnacentral:rRNA from 1 species
CCUACGGGAGGCAGCAGUGAGGAAUAUUGGUCAAUGGACGAGAGUCUGAACCAGCCAAGUAGCGUGAAGGAUGACUGCCCUCUGGGUUGUAAACUUCUUUUAUAUGGGAAUAAAAUGUUCCACGUGUGGGAUUUUGUAUGUACCAUAUGAAUAAGGAUCGGCUAACUCCGUGCCAGCAGCCGCGGUAAUACGGAGGAUCCGAGCGUUAUCCGGAUUUAUUGGGUUGAAAGGGAGCGUAGGUGGAUUGUUAAGUCAGUUGUGAAAGUUUGCGGCUCAACCGUACAAUUGCAGUUGAAACUGGCAGUCUGGAGUACAGUAGAGGUGGGCGGAAUUCGUGGUGUAGCGGUGAAAUGCGUAGAUAUCACGAAGAACUCCGAUGGCGAAGGCAGCUCACUGGACUGCAACUGACACUGAGGCUCGAAAGUGUGGGUAUCAAACAGGAUUAGAUACCCUAGUAGUC